rnacentral:rRNA from 1 species
AUUGAACGCUGGCGGCAGGCCUAACACAUGCAAGUCGAACGAGUGGCGGACGGGUGAGUAAUGUCUGGGAAACUGCCUGAUGGAGGGGGAUAACUACUGGAAACGGUAGCUAAUACCGCAUACCAUCGGAUGUGCCCAUAUGGGAUUAGCGAGUAGUUGGGGUAAAGGCUCACCUAGGCGACGAUCCCUAGCUGGUCUGAGAGGAUGACCAGCCACACUGGACCUGAGACACGGUCCAGACUCCUACGGGAGGCGGCAGUGGGGAAUAUUGCACAAGGGGCGGAAGCCUGAUGCCGCCCUGCCGCGUGUAUGAAGAGGGCCUUCGGGUUGUAAAUUACUUUCAGCGGGGAGGCGUUACCCGCAGGAGGAGCACCGGCUAACUCCGUGCCAGCCGCCGCGGUAAUUC